rnacentral:ncRNA from 1 species
UUAGGGAAAGCCCAAAACCUAUAAAAGAGUAGGCA